rnacentral:rRNA from 1 species
GACGAACGCUGGCGGCGUGCUUAACACAUGCAAGUCGAACGGAAAGGCCCUGCUUUUGUGGGGUGCUCGAGUGGCGAACGGGUGAGUAACACGUGAGUAACCUGCCCUUGACUUUGGGAUAACUUCAGGAAACUGGGGCUAAUACCGGCUAGGAGCUCCUUCUGCAUGGUGGGGGUUGGAAAGUUUCGGCGGUUGGGGAUGGACUCGCGGCUUAUCAGCUUGUUGGUGGGGUAGUGGCUUACCAAGGCUUUGACGGGUAGCCGGCCUGAGAGGGUGACCGGCGACAUUGGGACUGAGAUACGGACCAGACUCCUACGGGAGGCAGAAGUGGGGAAUAUUGCACAAUGGGCGGAAGCCUGAUGAGGCAACGCCGGGUGCGGGAUGAAGGCCUUCGGGUUGUAAACCGCUUUCGCCUGUGACGAAGCGGGAGUGACGGUAAUGGGUAAAGAAGCACCGGCUAACUACGUG